CAUUUUGGCAGACGCGCGGGGCCUGGGGCAGGAAACGGAGGAACAGAGGCGCAGCGCGCCGAGCAGGCGCCGGGCCCCGAGCAUGGCGAGACCGGACAGGGUUCCACGGGAUGCCGGGCUACGUCCCGGCUCACAGUCCCCGAGAGCAGCCUUUUUCAGCCGCGCAGUCCUGCCGUCAUGCGCUCCUGUCGCUCUUCCCUCCGCGCCCCGAGCAGUUCCCACGGGACCCCACCUCCGCGUCCCGCUCCCGAAAGCACAGAAGGUUCGACUACACGGAACACAGCUGAUUGUGUCCGGGAGCUCGUGAGGCGCCGCACCGUGUUUGGAUCCACACGUCUGCCUUUAGAUUCAUCGCCUUCCCGAUAGCAGCAGGAAUGACAUUUCUAACGUGAAUGUUGUACCGUGCCAGCCAUAAUGAUAGGUAGAGUGUCACAGAGUGGCUGUUCCCUGCCAAGAACUCCUCACGUCUUAACUCCAUCAUCACAGUCACUCUUGCUUAGAAGAAACUGAAGUUUAGAGUUUUUGCCGUAUACCCCAAGUUACUUACAGUCUUGUUUCAUCCAUGUUCUUACUCAUUUUGUUACCCUAGUGAUUAAACACCCAUGAAUUGUUCCUCUUACAACAUAAAGACUUGGCUACCAGACUUUCUCUGAUUCACAAAGUUUCCUGAAGUGACUUGGAGUGAGAAUCAGAAAUGAAAUGUCUAUGGUGUUACUCUCUGCUAUUUUUUUUAUCUGUGCAGUGAAUUCUGUCAGUGUUACCCCUAAACUCUGUGAAGGAUUAUUUUUUAAGUAAAAAAAAAAUUUUUUUUACUUGUAUAGGUGUUUUGCCUGCAUGUGUAUCUAUCUAUGUACCGAAUAUGUUCCUGGUAUCCACAGAGACCAAAAGUGGAUGUUGUAUCUCCUGAAAUUGGAGUCAUAGACAGUUAUGAGCUGCCAUUUGAGUGCUUGGAAUAGAACCCAGGUCCUCUUAAAGAGCAUCCAGUGCUCUUAAAAACUGAGACAUCUCUGUAGCCUCUCUGGGAAGAUUUUUGACAGGGUUCUACACAACACACUUUAGCUAACUUAAACCAGAAACUUCUUACAAUUCUUUCUUCUGUUCUAAGCUGACAACUACUUAUGUUUAUAAUAUAUUCUCUUUCUUGAGAAGAAUACCCCAGAUUAAGAAGGCUCGGGUCUCAUGAAACUAGAUAAGACUUUGAUUUUAAAAAGUAUUCAUACUGGAUGCAUUUAAAAGAUUGUUUCAGUGUUGUAGCCUAAAGCAUAUUCAUCUUGAACUUCACAAGGCCCUGGGAAAUUGUUUUCUGAGUUGAUGAUCCAAUUUAUAUGCCCUCUGGCAAGCUGUGGCAGUUCCCAGUUACCUUCGAUGACAAUUGUUAAACUUAGACUUUCCACUUUUUACCACAAGGGAAGCCUUGUGUAUUAGUGUUUCAAAAGUUUAUGUGUUGGUUCUCUUCUUCCUGUUCAUCAAAAUUCCAUUUCAGCAUAACUCCAUCUUUUUUUCCUUCAGUAGCAUAAUGAACAAAGCCAUGAACCUGGUGAUCAGAAGUUCUUGCUUAAGUCUUGUCUGUAUGACCCAUGAUGGAACUCUCAGGAAGUCACUUGAACUUUCAAAUACGCACAUAGAGGUGGAGAUGAAGGAGGUGGGUAUUAGUGUGGGGAUAGUCUCACUGCUUGACUAAGCCUCAUAUGGGUGGACUCUUUGCUUUGUUUAUGGUGCCCUAUCUGAGGUGAACAGAGUAAGUGGAGACUUCUAGUUUCUUUGGAAAGUCGGUGAUGUCAAAUGAUGUUUUGUUGGGUCACACAGGCGAAAGGAUGCCUUGCUAAAGCAGACGUGUGAAAAAAUGUUUUUCUGAAGCAGACACAAGUGACAGUAUGUUUUACUAUAACAAACACAUGAAAGGAUGCAUGAUGUUCAGAAGGAAUAUAAACAUGACCCCACAGACAGUGGAAGCUUGAGCAUUGGUUUGCUUUGCUCUGCCCCUCUGUUCUUCGCAAAUGACAUGCAUGUAUUGGUUCACCUUACAUUGCAGUGCUGAGCUCUGCUUGUAGUGACAACAUUGGAAGAAACUUGCCAAAGAAUGUCUGGUGAGGUUCCUGCAGCUCUUGCUCCUUCUGCAGCCUCAAGCCAGUUGGAGAGCCUUGGGGUUUCUUCUGGAUUGAACUGCUCUUGCUGGUCUGUGUGUAGUGUCUGCCCAGAGAACUGGACUGCAGCUGCUGAUUCAUAUUUGGUGUUUGCUACUGGACUGAACUGCUGAUAUCUUGACAAUGAAGACUGGACUCUCCGCCAAAGAACGAUUUCUAAACAGGUCUACUUACCCCGUGUCCUAAUAACUUUUCUCUUCCACUACCUCUGGUGGAUGGUGGACUAAAGGAGAAGUUGAACUCUUAUUAAAGUAGCUUGGAAAAAAAUUAUGCCUACAAGUAGAUGUCCAUAUCACCUCAGAAAUUGGAACAUACUUGGGGUCAGUGUGAGUGCAUUAAUUAUAAACCCAGAGUCACCAAUAAUGUGUCAGUGUUGCAUGGAGGAAAGGAAGUUUGGGGGGCAUUGUUGCUUGAUGUACUUUAACAGAGAUUUGAAUUUCCUACUUCUCUCGCCCUGUGUCUUCUGUUGUUCCUGGCUAUCUCUUGUAGGGGUCUGACUCUGUGCCUGCCUGAAAGCUGUCAAAUCUGACUGUCUGUGUAUGUCCCUAACAAAGGGGCUUUGCUCUGUAUUCACUGGAAAAGAAAGUGUCACAUGGAGAAGGAAUGAAGGAUACUUUACAAAAUGUUUCAGUAGUGUUUUACAAGGGGUUAAGUCACUGACUCCAGCUGACCCAGAUAACAAACAAUAUUACAAACAUCAUUGUUUAUGAAGCAAUAUUCUUUAUGUUAUGUUCAACAUUGAUAAUGGGUACUCAUUUUAUGAGUCCAAUUU
rnacentral:lncRNA from 1 species